rnacentral:rRNA from 1 species
UUCGCAAUGCCCGAAAGGGUGACGAAGCGACGCCGCGUGGGUGAGGAAGGCCCUCGGGUUGUAAAGCCCUGUCAGGAGUUAAGAAAUGUAGAUUCGCUAAUAUCGGGUCUAUUUGACGAAGGCUCCAAAGGAAGCCACGGCUAACUCUGUGCCAGCAGCCGCGGUAAUACAGAGGUGGCAAGCGUUGUUCGGAAUUAUUGGGCGUAAAGAGCACGUAGGUGGAUUUGUAAGUCAGAUGUGAAAGCCUUCUGUUCAAAGGAAGAACGGCAUCUGAAACUACAGAUCUUGAGUGUAGGAGGGGAGAGUGGAACUUCUGGUGGAGCGGCGAAAUGCGUAGAUAUCAGAAGGAACGUCGGCGGCGAAAGCGACUCUCUGGCCUAUUACUGACACUGAGUGUGCGAAAGUUAGGGGAGCAAACGGGAUUAGAUACCCCGGUAGUCCUAACUGUAAACGAUGGGCACUAAGUAGAGGGGUUUU